rnacentral:lncRNA from 1 species
AUGUUCCAGCCUGGCCACCCCAUCAGCGCCUGCCCAGGGCAGGCCCAGCGCCAUGGUUCUUGGACUCCCAGAGUCAGCAGUGGGCUGGUGGUUGGGGGAGGCAGGUGCCUUGGGGGUGGUCGGGCCACUAGGGCUCCCCCAGCUGUCUCGGCUGCCCCUCUUAGGGCUCCAGCCCCUGCAACUGAGGGGCAGCUACUGGCCUGGAGGGGACACACAGCCGUUGCCUCCCCCAGCCAGUCCCCGCCCUCCCCGGUGGCCUUGCUGAGUGAGAUCCACUCUGCGUCUACCUUGUGCCUUGGUCUGGAAGAAGAGAGCUUCUCCCUGCGGCUGAUCUGUGUGGCCUGGGCCCCGGCCACUUCAGGGACCAGGGACAGUGUCCUUCCGGGGCUGCAUCUCUGCCCACACCUCCAGCCUGCCACGUGCACCCCUGCCACGCUCCCUGUCACGUUGCUGAGCUGUGCUGCAGGUGCAGCAGCUGCUCCUCCCGGAGGGAAGGGGCCGAGCGCCCCCCGCGGCCCCUCCAACCCUGCCUCUCAGCAGACCCAGGCUCCGCUCGUGCAGGCCCCAGGCAGUCAGAGCUGUGCAGCCAGGCAGUCAGACGCUGUGCAGCCAGGCUGUGUGCUCAGCACAGGCAGUCAGACGCUGUGCAGCCAGGCUGUGUGCUCAGCACAGGCAGUCAGACGCUGUGCAGCCAGGCUGUGUGCUCAGCACAGGCAGUCAGACGCUGUGCAGCCAGGCUGUGUGCUCAGCACAGGCAGUCAGACGCUGUGCAGCCAGGCUGUGUGCUCAGCACAGGCGCAGGCCGGCACAGCUGGGGACACUUGCUUAAGACCCAGCGCUGCCUCAGAGAAGUUCCCAGUCUGCUGGCAGAGGCGUAGUCCAGGACCAGGGGCUGCAACACCCAGACCCGCCCCGAUCCGCCCCGGGGCCACUCCCUUCUACCGUCCCUGCCUCCACCCUGGAGGACAGCGCUGUUUGUGGUGCUGCCUCGGCCUGGAGCUGCUGUCUCUGUGGCACGGGGAGCUGGGAGGGAAGGGAGCCCCUCGUUUUAGGGAUACGCCCAACAAAGUGGGGCGGGUGGGCAAGGAAAAAGAAACUGAACAUUGA